UACAAUUCAACUAAGAUUCCACGACAAUUUGAAACAUAAAUCAGAGUGUAGUUGAAGCCCUAUGCAUCUCGUGCCUAUAAAAUUUAAUGCACAUGUAAGCUCUUACAUCCGAACCUUAUCAAAUACUACCAACACUACUUAUAUAAAACCACCUUCCAUUUUUCUAAAUCGUCUCACACUUAGCUUUCAGUUCUUACCAAAAAAAUGGCUUCAAAUCCAGCAUUAGCAGAGCUAAACUUUGUUUUGAUACCUUUACUCUCUGCAAGUCGCAUAAUACCCAUGGUUGACAUUGCCAAACUUUUAGCACAGAGAGGUGUGACAGUUACUUUAGUCUUGACACCUCUUAAUGCUGCCCCAUUUACUGCAGUAAUUGAUCGCGCCAUGGGUUCUGGACUCCUCAUUCGGGUACUUGAGCUCCAGUUUCCAGCCAAGGAAGCAGGACUUCCAGAGGGAUGUGAAAGCCUGAAUCUUCUGCCCUCUAUGGCUUUUGUAAGAAAUUUCUAUAAUGCAACUGAUAUGCUACAAAAUGAAGCUGAAAAUUUACUUGAAGAGAUGAAGCCUAAGCCAAGUUGCAUUAUUUCCGAUACGCUUAUUGCUUGGACAGCUGACACAGCCGAUAAGUUUCAGAUUCCAAGAAUUCUUUUUGAUGGAAUGAGUUGCUUCAGUCAAGUGUGUUUGCAUAAUUUGUACAUCAUGAAGGAUCAAAACAAAAUCCCUGACUCGGGUUCUUUUGUUAUUCCUGAUUUGCCAGAUAAAAUUGAGGUCACUAAAGCUCAGCUGCCUGCAGCAUUCCAUCCAGGAACCAUUUCCAUACAAGAUAUUCGUGAUAAAAUACGAGCAGCUGAAACAAGAUCCUAUGGGGUUGUCAUCAAUACUUUCGAGGAGUUAGAAACCGAAAACAUAAAGAUGGUAGAGUUUGGUGCAUUGGACCUUUGUCUCUUUGUAACAAUGAUAAUCAAGACAAAGCUCAGAGAGGGAAUAAAGCCUCAUUUGACAAAGAAGAAUCUUUGACGAAAUGGCUUGAUUCUUGGCAACCUGAGUCUAUUGUGUAUGCAUGUCUUGGAAGCCUCGGUCGUAUUCCAGUUGUACAAUUUGUGGAGCUGGCUUUAGGCUUGGAAGCAUCAGGUUAUCCAUUCAUUUUAGUGAUAAAAGCAGGGGAAGGACAAGAACCAAUAGAGGACUUGAUAUCGAAAAAUGGAUUUGAGGAAAGAACAAAAGAAAGAGGGCUUUUGAUCCGUGGCUGGGCGCCACAAGUACUAAUCCUAUCACACCCUGCAAUUGGAGGGUUCUUGACUCAUUGUGGUUGGAAUUCGACCCUUGAGGGUAUCAGUGCUGGCGUACCGAUGAUCACAUGGCCUUUAUUAUCAGAGCAAUUUUUGAAUGAGAGAUUCAUAGUACAUGUCUUGAAGACGGGUGUGAGCGUUGGAUGUCAGGAAGUGGUUCAUUUUGGUGAGGAAGGGAAGUUUGAGGCCCAAGUGAGUAAGGAAGAAGUAACCAAAGCCAUUAAAACAGUGAUGGAUAAGGAGAAAGAAGGAAAAGAGAGCAGAAAAAGAGCCAGAGAACUUGGAGAAAUGGCAAAAAGGGCUGUAGAAAGUGCUGGAUCUUCUUAUCUCAGUUUGGAACUUUUAAUCAAAGAAAUACAGGAAUUCCAACUUAACAAAUCAGCUUAAAAUGAGAAUGCACAAGUAUGCAAUGUACUUCUUUGAUUAGAAAAUUUUAUAUGCUAUGCAUUUCUUUGAUUAGAAAAUUUCGUAUGCAAUGUACUUCUUGAAUUGAAAAUGUUAUUAGCAAUGUACUUCUUUGACUUGAAUAGCAUUGAGAGGUGUCACGACUAAAGUGAAUUUCCUGCCUCGCCGCUUUAACAA